GAGUGAUCUAAAGGUAAGAGAAAAAAAUAUUGAGAAUUGUAUGAAGUAUAAUUAGUAAAGAGUUACCUACUCUUAAACUCAUGAAUGCUUGUUGUGCUAUCCACAAGGUGUUUAUGAGGAAUGGGGAUCUCAACCCCACUUAGAAACAUAAUGAUGUUUCUUAUUUUUCAUACUUGAGGGCUAUAAAAUUUAUUAAAAUAGUGAG
rnacentral:lncRNA from 1 species